UUGAUUUGAUCCCAAGUUGUCCCGUGUGUUAUAAAUGGUCAAAUUGACGCUAUUUUGGUUAGAUCGACGCGUUGGCGUGUGAGUGGCCUAUUGAAUGUUUGUGUUGGUUGGCUCCCUGCUUGCGCAGCGAACGAUUGACGCAUACAAAUUUCAGUCCGAUCGGUGAUGUGUUUGUUGGAUUUUUGUGUUGCCAACCUAAAUGAUGGAAUUCUUAUGACUCGCUGCGUUGGCUUUGCCGAGCUCCCUUUGAGGCGCUAGGUUGACGGUUAAGUUGCCCCUAUUUUCGGCCAUGCUCUUCCCUUUUUGGGAACCAUGGAAAAUUAUGUGGUAUCGCUUGUUGCCUCGGAUGCGAAGCACGAAGCGAGCAUGAUGCCUGUCAUCAUUUGCUCAUUCGGAGCUUUCGAAUGCUCGAAAAGACAGACUGUUGUGCUUGGUUUUGGCUGUCGACUUGUCGAACCAGCUCAAAACCACGUCGACGUCUUCAAUGAAUGCUACCUGGUGAUCCUGC
rnacentral:misc_RNA from 1 species